CAGCCGCCGCGGUAAUACGUAGGGUGCGAGCGUUAAUCGGAAUUACUGGGCGUAAAGCGUGCGCAGGCGGUUAUAUAAGACAGAUGUGAAAUCCCCGGGCUCAACCUGGGACCUGCAUUUGUGACUGUAUAGCUAGAGUACGGUAGAGGGGGAUGGAAUUCCGCGUGUAGCAGUGAAAUGCGUAGAUAUGCGGAGGAACACCGAUGGCGAAGGCAAUCCCCUGGACCUGUACUGACGCUCAUGCACGAAAGCGUGGGGAGCAAACAGGAUUAGAGACCCCCGUAGUCCCUGUCUCUUAUAC
rnacentral:rRNA from 1 species